rnacentral:rRNA from 1 species
UACAGAGGGUGCGAGCGUUGUCCGGAAUCACUGGGCGUAAAGGGCGCGUAGGUGGCGACCCAAGUCUGUGGUGAAAGCUCGCCGCUUAACGGCGAGUCGGCCACGGAUACUGGGUGGCUCGAGCACUGUAGGGGCAGAUGGAAUUCCGGGUGUAGCGGUGGAAUGCGUAGGGAUCCGGAAGAACACCGGUGGCGAAGGCGGUCUGCUGGGCAGUAGCUGACACUGAGGCGCGACAGCGUGGGGAGCAAACAGG